rnacentral:rRNA from 1 species
CUGGCGGCGUGCUUAACACAUGCAAGUCGAACGCGAAAGGGACUUCGGUCCUGAGUAAAGUGGCGCACGGGUGAGUAACGCGUAGAUAACCUGUCUUCAUGUCUGGAAUAAUACGCCGAAAGGGGUACUAAUACCGGAUAUUCUUGCUUUUCAUAAGUUAUGCAAGCAAAGGUGGCCUCUGCAUAUGCUACUGCAUGAAGAGGGGUCUGCGUACCAUUAGCUAGUAGGUGGGGUAAUGGCCUACCUAGGCGACGAUGGUUAGCGGGUCUGAGAGGAUGAUCCGCCACACUGGCACUGGAACACGGGCCAGACUCCUACGGGAGGCAGCAGUGAGGAAUAUUGCGCAAUGGGGGAAACCCUGACGCAGCGACGCCGCGUGAAGUGAGGAAGGCCUUCGGGUCGUAAAGCUCUGUCAAGAGGAAAGAAGUGUACAAUGGCUAAUACCUGUUGUAUUUGACGGUACCUCUAAAGGAAGCACCGGCUAACUCCGUGCCAGCCGCGGC